rnacentral:rRNA from 1 species
CUAAUACAUGCAAGUCGAACGCUUUGUGCUUAAUUGAUAUGACGAGCUUGCUCUGAUUUGAUUUUUUGAUUUCAAAGAGUGGCGAACGGGUGAGUAACACGUGGGUAACCUACCUCUUAGCAGGGGAUAACAUUUGGAAACAAGUGCUAAUACCGUAUAAUACCAACAACCGCAUGGUUGUUGGUUGAAAGAUGGUUCUGCUAUCACUAAGAGAUGGACCCGCGGUGCAUUAGCUAGUUGGUAAGGUAAUGGCUUACCAAGGCAAUGAUGCAUAGCCGAGUUGAGAGACUGAUCGGCCACAAUGGGACUGAGACACGGCCCAUACUCCUACGGGAGGCAGCAGUAGGGAAUCUUCCACAAUGGGCGCAAGCCUGAUGGAGCAACGCCGCGUGUGUGAUGAAGGGUUUCGGCUCGUAAAACACUGUUAUAAGAGAAGAACGGCACUGAGAGUAACUGUUCAGUGUGUGACGGUAUCUUACCAGAAAGGAACGGCUAAAUACGUGCCAGCAGCCGCGGUAAUACGUAUGUUCCAAGCGUUAUCCGGAUUUAUUGGGCGUAAAGCGAGCGCAGACGGUUAUUUAAGUCUGAAGUGAAAGCCCUCAGCUCAACUGAGGAAUUGCUUUGGAAACUGGAUGACUUGAGUGCAGUAGAGGAAAGUGGAACUCCAUGUGUAGCGGUGAAAUGCGUAGAUAUAUGGAAGAACACCAGUGGCGAAGGCGGCUUUCUGGACUGUAACUGACGUUGAGGCUCGAAAGUGUGGGUAGCAAACAGGAUUAGAUACCCUGGUAGUCCACACCGUAAACGAUGAGUGCUAGAUGUUCGAGGGUUUCCGCCCUUGAGUGUCGCAGCUAACGCAUUAAGCACUCCG